rnacentral:lncRNA from 1 species
ACCAUUCGUGCUGCUUACUGCUAGUUAGGGGUUAACGGUAAAAAAAAAAAGAAAGCUUAUAAAUAUGUUAAAUCUGUAAAAAAAAGUUUUAAAAAGUUAAAAAUACAUUUAAAAAUGCUUAUUACCACUACACCUGGAACAAACUAGAGAAAAAAUGAUCCCACGCUAAGGUUCAAAAUACGCCUUUUUAAUUACCCCUUUAAUAAAUAGUAUGUGUUUGUGGGGAAACUUCAAUAACAAACCAUCUAAACUACUCCAAAAUGGAACAUGGGCACAACGUAAAACUUCAAAGUUAGAAAAAAACUGAAUGGCUGCGUCUCAAAUGUGCCCCUUCAACAUCCACAUAUACCUGGCAAAUGUACAUAUGGGGUUAUAGCUGUACUCAGACGACAUAGCUGAGCAACAUAUGUAGUAUUAUACCGUAGUAGCACACAUAAGGUUUGCAAAAUAUACCGUGCAAACUCACUUUGUGUGUCAAAAAGGCAGAAAUAUGUUUAUUACCACUACACUUGGUACAAGCUAGUGGAAAAAUUAUCCCACGCUAAGGUUCAAAAUAUGCCGUUUGCAAUACCCUGGGAUGUCUUCUUUAAGAAAUGGUAUGGCUUUAUGGGGUGUUUGGAUUAUAUAGCCUGGUAAAAUACUCUAAAAUGGGACAUGGGCACAGCGUAAAAAUGUAAAGUUUGACAAAAACUGGAAUGGCUGUGUCUCAAAUGUGCCCCUCCGAUGUCCACAUAUACCUGGAAAAGGUACAUACGGGGGUAUUGCUGUAGUCAGACAACAUAGCUGAGAAACAUAUGAAGUAUUAUACAGUCAUGGCACACAUAAGAUUUGCAAAAUAUACUGUGCAAACUCACUUUGUGUGUCAGAAAAGGCAGAAAAAAACGCUUUUUACCACUACACUUGGUACAAGCUAGCGAAAACAUUAUCCCACGCUAAGGUUCAAAAUAUGCCUUUUGAAAUACCCUGGGAUGUCUUCUUUAAGAAAUGGUAUGCCUUUAUGGUGUAGUUGUAAUAUGUAGCCUGCUCAAGUGCUCCAAAGUGGGACACGGACGCAUCAAAAUUCACACUUAAAAACCUGAACUUGUCACGUCUCUUUUACAGCACUGUAACUUCACAAAAUAGUGUCUAGGUCAUAAGUUGGGCAUAUUGUUUUACUCGGAAGGUGUAACUGAGUAUAAUUUGGGGAUUUAUAUGACAGUGAUACAUAUUAAGUGUAAGAAAUAAUCAGCAAAAAUGCAACAUACAUGUAAAAAUGGCAUUUCUCCCCUCACCACAAACAUUGACAUAAAUUGGUGAAAAAAUGGUGACAAGUUAAGGCACAAUAUACACAAUAUAAGCCUUUUGAUAAAGGGCUUUAUCAAAUGAAAGCCCUUUGUGGGGUUAUUUGAACAGUCACACUGCUAGAAUACCCUAAAAUGAGACAUAGACCCGUCAAAUCCAUCUACUAAAAAUUCUAACUAUAGAAACUGAAAUAGCCUUGUCUCUUAUAUGGCACUGUAGCUUUACAGAAUAGUGCCAAAGAAUGGGGGUAUCAUUAUACUCAGCAGAUGUAGCUGAACACAAUAUGGGGUUCUGUGCAGGAAUAGCACACACCAACCAAUACGAAAUACACAUUACAAAAACCUUGUUAUAUGUGGAUAUGCCAAAAUAGAGAAAAAACACAAUUUUACUCCAAUAUUUAGCAGAGAUUGGCGAUGAAAUGGUUAUGUAAAAAGUAUCAAACUAACCUUAGGUAAACAGCCUGUGAUGUCUACUUUAUAUAAAUAUAUACUUUUGUGUGGCAAUUUUGUUUUCUGUGAUGGCUACUAAACCUACAAGACAAACAUACCAAAUUCUAAAAUUGUUGCAAAUUGAAAUUUUAUUUUUGUCCUUGUAUAUUGUGACGUGUAGCUUUCAAAAUAAGCUGAAAUCCUAUACAUAUGACGUACUCUAUAAAUCAAG